rnacentral:lncRNA from 10 species
UCGUCAGUUCAAGAAAUUUAUAUUCAAAAAUUUUCUUAAGAAUACACAUGAUUUUACAAGAUCAUUCAUCAUAGCACCAAGCCUAAUAUUCCUUAAUAGAAAACAGUCAAAUAACAAAUACUCCAGUUAAUUCCCACAGGUAUAAAUUAUUCAAAUAGCCAUUUAUAUCUUAAUUUACAGUAAUCAAUAAAUAAGACGGCACAUUCAUAUAUUGUUUAUAAAGAUCUUUUUUUUUACAAAGCUACAGCUAUGUAUAUCCUAAAUAGACAAAAAUAAUCCUUGUACUACAAAAUAACAUUUCAUUUUCCUCAAUAGUUUUCUUAGAGCUCUCAGUAAAAACUUUCAGACAUAGUCAAUUAAGCCCUGCACAAUAAGGAAACAUUCAAUCUGCUCAAUAGACCAGACUCCCCCAAAAUAAAACAAUGAUCACCACCCACUACAAUAUGGUCUGAACAAUCUCCUGUCUCCAAGUUUAGUUAAGUCUGUCCUGAGGAUGUACAGUAGGGAACGACCAUUUUUCCGUGUUCACAAUUUGUCUUUGGCGGAUAGUAUCAGCACCACUGUGAGUGACAUAGGCAGCAUCUUAUGGUGCAAUUUCAAGGGCAGAGGGCAGGUGUCCCCUGCACCACAUUCCCUCCCCACAGCUACCGCCCCUACCCCAGGGACAUUCUACACAAACACACCAGCAUUUGGCUUAAGGGAUCCUUGUUGGAAUGCAAACGGCUCCGAUUCUGAGUACACUUGCUUUAAGCAAAUAGGCCACUUAUUGAGAUAAAUAAAAACUACCUUCGUAACCUUUGGAUUUUUAAACUUAGAAAGGACUUUUAAAAGAAGUCUUCCCACUUCCAACCCAGAGAGGUAAAUUCAAGGCAUCUGCAGGUGAGCCACAGCUAGGACGUGGGUUCUCCAUACCCAUACCAGUGUUGGCCUGCUUUGGACAAUGUCAACUCUCCAGACAACAGGCACUCCCAGAGUUUCCUUUAAAAAAGUGUCUAAAUCCUUGCAUGACAUUUAGCAAUACUGGCAUUCUGGCACAGCAUGGGCUUGUAGAGAAUACACACCUAUUGAUUUUUGCUGGGGCUAAAGGAAGUGGUAGCUAUUGCAAACAGAAUACAAGUAUCAAAUGAUAUUUUGCUAUUUUGUUUUUUGUAACAAUGCAAAAAUCACUACUUUUAAGCUUAAAAUACAGGAAAAAUAAUAAUCCCUGCCUCAGAGACCAACCAGUUAUGAAUUCAUCCAAGUAAUUCGUGGUCUCUACUUCUCCAUUUUAAUUACACUGCCCUCAGGCCUUCUCUACUUUUCUUUUUGAAGGAGAAAGCCCAAUUUCCUACUCUGUGAAGUACGUGUUAGAGGUGCAGAGAUGAGCAGCUGGGGGCAGGAUGUAUAGUUAAUUGGAGGCCCUGAAGAACUGUCUUUGAUGUUGGACACUGAGAUUUUACUGCAAAAGACCCUUUCAAGGCGGCCAUUUUGGUUGCAAAUUUGCAACUGCAGUGAAGUUUAGAGUGUUUGAAAAUAACAGUCCUAUGUUCCCAGUUCUGCUACUUACUAGUUCACGCUAUGACCUUAUUUUUCUGUCCUGUGCUUUAGCUUCCUUUCCGAAAUAAACACCUCCCACGAUUGUUCUAAGGGUCAAGUGAGUUAAUGAGUAAACAAUGGCUUAAACUUCCUCUUGCAAAAAGGCCUGAGUUAGAUUUGAGACAGGGUAGCUCAGAAAAAAGUAAUGGAUUGGAGAGAGGUUGGAAGAAGCUAUGGUACACUAAGGGUUAGGGAAAGAGGUAUAGUCAACGCUUGCUUCAAGAGGAAGGAAAUAGAGAAAAGGGGGCUGCUGGGCAUCCUACAACUUCAUAAACUUUCAAGAAAAGUAUUUUUCAUCCAACAAAUAUGUGCUGAAUGCCUAUAAUGCACAGAAGCUCAGAAGUUAGUUUGCCAAGAUCACCCAGAGAUCUGGUGACAGAGCUGGGACUCCAAUCUAAAUCUGGCUGACUCCCAAACCUGACUUCUUUCUCUAGCCCACAAUACCUCCCAGAGAAGAAGGCAGUGAUUAAAAUGAAAACAAAAAAAAGGGUUCCUUUAAAGAGAACACUGCUAGAUGAAGCUAUUCUUGACAUCUGAGUGUCAGGGAUUUAAACAAAUUAGCAGUGCGAUUGAGGCCGUGGAUUGUUGAGGCAUGUGUAUAUUUAAAAACAACUUGGUCAAACAGUACAAAAUACUGGUUGUCUUUUUCCCAUAGACAAGAAUGUUUUUUGGCAUGUUGCUCCAGCCCUGGCUGGGAGGAACUGCUUGCUUGAUGUGUUCUCAUCAAGGUUCUCAGAACAAGUUCUAAACACAAAGAAGCCAGUAUUCCCAGCAUUGUGGGGUCUGGCAACUGCAGAACACUCAGCUCAGAAACUCUGAUAACUUUUGUGGGCUCUUGGGGAACCAGCAGCUCUGAGUCUCCAGGCUUUUGACCCACACCUGACCAAGCUCACCCCAUGCCCUGUCUCACACACAAUGGUAGAGAAGUGACAAGACCUGAAGGUCCUGUAGGACUCUUAAGAAAAAUCAGAGUGAAGGCCAGGCACAGUGGUUCAUGCCUAUAAUCCCAGCAUUUUGGUAGGCCAAGGCAGGAGGAUCACUUGAGGCCAGGAGUUCGAGACCAGCCUGAGCAACAGUGAGACCUGUAUCUAUAAAAGAUAAAAAAAUUAGGUGGGCGUGGUGGCAUGCACCUGUACUACCAGCUACUUGGGAGGCUGAGGCAGGAGGAUUGCCUGAGCCCAGGAGUUUCAGGCUGCAGUGAGCUGUGAUCACACCACUGUACUCCAGCCUCGGUGACAGAGUAAGAUGCUGUCUCUUAAAAAAAAAAUCAGAGUGAAGAGGGCAGGUGCUCACGUGGAGCCCAAAGAUACAGGUG